rnacentral:rRNA from 1 species
CGGGUAGCAAUACCCAGUCGAGCGGCGAACGGGUGAGUNACGCGUGGAUUAUCUGCCCUGAGGUGGGGGAUAACCCGGGGAAACUCGGGCUAAUACCGCAUAUGACCGUGAGGUCAAAGGGGGGUCGCAAGAUCUCUCGCCAUAGGAGGAGUCCGCGUCCGAUUAGCUAGUUGGUAGGGUAAUGGCCUACCAAGGCGACGAUCGGUAGCCGGCCUGAGAGGGUGAUCGGCCACACUGGAACUGAGACACGGUCCAGACUCCUACGGGAGGCAGCAGUGGGGAAUUUUGCGCAAUGGGCUAACGCCUGACGCAGCAACGCCGCGUGGAGGAUGAAGGUCCUUGGAUUGUAAACUCCUGUCAGCAGGGAAAAAGGGACUCGACCUCAUACGUCGGGAACUUGAUUGUACCUGCAGAGGAAGCCCCGGCUAACUCUGUGCCAGCAGCCGCGGUAAUACAGAGGGGGCAAGCGUUAUUCGGAAUUAUUGGGCGUAAAGGGCGCGUAGGCGGCUUGGCAAGUGGAUGGUGAAAUCCCUCGGCUUAACCGAGGAACUGCCGUCCAAACUGCUUCGCUUGAGACCGGGAGAGGUGAGUGGAAUUCCCAGUGUAGCGGUGAAAUGCGUAGAUAUUGGGAGGAACACCAGUGGCGAAGGCGGCUCACUGGACCGGUACUGACGCUGAUGCGCGAAAGCGUGGGGAGCAAACGGGAUUGGAUACCCCGGUAGUCCACGCCGUAAACGAUGAGUGCUUGGUGUAGCGGGUAUCGACCCCUGCUGUGCCGAAGUCAACACAUUAAGCACU